AGCAGCUUGGCGCAGCGGAAGCGCGGUAUGUUCCCUCAACUCCACAACACCACAACUCAGUACUGAUUCAUUCAAUAGCCGGGCUCAUAACCCGGAGGUCGCUGGAUCGAGACCAGCAGCUGCUA
rnacentral:tRNA from 1 species